AGUGAACGCUGGCGGUAGGCCUAACACAUGCAAGUCGAACGGCAGCACAGUAAGAGCUUGCUCUUACGGGUGGCGAGUGGCGGACGGGUGAGGAAUACAUCGGAAUCUACUUUUUCGUGGGGGAUAACGUAGGGAAACUUACGCUAAUACCGCAUACGACCUACGGGUGAAAGCAGGGGAUCUUCGGACCUUGCGCGACUGAAUGAGCCGAUGUCGGAUUAGCUAGUUGGCGGGGUAAAGGCCCACCAAGGCGACGAUCCGUAGCUGGUCUGAGAGGAUGAUCAGCCACACUGGAACUGAGACACGGUCCAGACUCCUACGGGAGGCAGCAGUGGGGAAUAUUGGACAAUGGGCGCAAGCCUGAUCCAGCCAUACCGCGUGGGUGAAGAAGGCCUUCGGGUUGUAAAGCCCUUUUGUUGGGAAAGAACAGCAGCAGGUUAAUACCCCGCUGUUCUGACGGUACCCAACGAAUAAGCACCGGCUAACUUCGUG
rnacentral:rRNA from 1 species